GAUGAACGCUGGCGGCGUGCCUAAUACAUGCAAGUCGAGCGAACAGACGAGGAGCUUGCUCCUCUGACGUUAGCGGCGGACGGGUGAGUAACACGUGGAUAACCUACCUAUAAGACUGGGAUAACUUCGGGAAACCGGAGCUAAUACCGGAUAAUAUAUUGAACCGCAUGGUUCAAUAGUGAAAGACGGUUUUGCUGUCACUUAUAGAUGUAUCCGCGCCGCAUUAGCUAGUUGGUAAGGUAACGGCUUACCAAGGCAACGAUGCGUAGCCGACCUGAGAGGGUGAUCGGCCACACUGGAAGUGAGACACGGUCCAGACUCCUACGGGAGGCAGCAGUAGGGAAUCUUCCGCAAUGGGCGAAAGCAUGACGGAGCAAAGCCGCGUGAGUGAUGAAGGUCUUCGGAUCGUAAAACUCUGUUAUUAGGGAAGAACAAAUGUGUAAGUAACUAUGCACGUCUUGACGGUACCUAAUCAGAAAGCCACGGCUAACUACGUG
rnacentral:rRNA from 1 species